CAGCCGCCGCGGUAAUACGUAGGGUGCAAGCGUUAAUCGGGAUUACUGGGCGUAAGGCGUGCGCAGGCGGCUAUGCAAGACAGAUGUGAAAUCCCCGGGCUCAACCUGGGAACUGCAUUUGUGACUGCAUGGCUAGAGUACGGUAGAGGGGGAUGGAAUUCCGCGUGUAGCAGUGAAAUGCGUAGAUAUGCGGAGGAACACCGAUGGCGAAGGCAAUCCCCUGGACCUGUACUGACGCUCAUGCACGAAAGCUAGGGGAGCAAACAGGAUUAGAUACCCGCGUAGUCCCUGUCUCUUAUAC
rnacentral:rRNA from 1 species